CUAGUAGCUGGUUCCCUCCGAAGUUUCCCUCAGGAUAGCUGGUGCAUUUUAAAAUUAUGUAAAAUAAUCUUAUCUGGUAAAGCGAAUGAUUAGAGGCCUUAGGGUCGAAACGAUCUUAACCUAUUCUCAAACUUUAAAUGGGUAAGAACCUCACCUUUCUUGAUAUGAAGGUUGAGGUUAUGAUAUAAUGUGCCCAGUGGGCCACUUUUGGUAAGCAGAACUGGCGCUGUGGGAUGAACCAAACGUAAUGUUACGGUGCCUAAAUUAACAACUCAUGCAGAUACCAUGAAAGGCGUUGGUUGCUUAAAACAGCAGGACGGUGGACAUGGAAGUCGUAAUCCGCUAAGGAGUGUGUAACAACUCACCUGCCGAAGCAACUAGCCCUUAAAAUGGAUGGCGCUUAAGUUGUAUACCUAUACAUUACCGCUAAAGUACAUGAUUUAUAUGAAUUACAAUAAUUUCGGUUGUUGUUUUUUAUUGUAUAUAAAUUUUGAAACUUUAGUGAGUAGGAGGGUACAAUGGUGUGCUUAGAAGUGUUUGGCGUAAGCCUGCAUGGAGCCGCCAUUGGUACAGAUCUUGGUGGUAGUAGCAAAUAAUCGAAUGAGACCUUGGAGGACUGAAGUGGAGAAGGGUUUCGUGUGAACAGUGGUUGAUCACGAGUUAGUCGGUCCUAAGUUCAAGGCGAAAGCCGAAAAUUUUCAAGUUUUAAUGAA
rnacentral:rRNA from 2 species